rnacentral:tRNA from 1 species
CCUUCGAUAGCUCAGUUGGUAGAGCGGAGGACUGUAGGUGGUCGCUGAUAUCCUUAGGUCGCUGGUUCGAAUCCGGCUCGAAGGA